AUUGAACGCUGGCGGCAGGCUUAACACAUGCAAGUCGAGCGAGCGGCGGACGGGUUAGUAAUGUCUGUGAAACUGCCUGAUGGAGGGGGAUAACUACUGGAAACUGUAGCUAAUACCGCAUACCAUCAGAUGUGCCCAGAUGGGAUUAGCUAGUAGGUGGGGUAAGGGCUCACCUAGGCUACGAUCCCUAGCUGGUCUGAGAGGAUGACCAGGCACACUGGAACUGAGACACGGUCCAGACUACUACGGGAGGCAGCAGUGGGGAAUAUUGGACAAUGGGCGCAAUCCUGAUGCAGACAUGCCGGGUGUGUGAAGAAGGCCUUCGGGUUGUAAAGCACUUUCAGCGGGGAGGCGUUACUAGCAGAAGAAGCACCGGCUAACUCCGUGCCAGCAGCCGCGGUAAUUC
rnacentral:rRNA from 1 species